rfam:Setaria italica strain Yugu1 chromosome VII, whole genome shotgun sequence.
GUGUGGAAGAGGAAGAAAAGAGAGUCAAAGAGUAGUGGGCAUGGGAACAUGGAGGAAGGCCUUUGGCAAUCUCAUUUUGGGUCUUCCCGAUGCCUCCCAUGCCUAUUGGUCUUUGGUUCUCCUUCCUUUUUCCUUUCAGCU